rnacentral:rRNA from 1 species
UGAGGAAUAUUGGUCAAUGGGCGAGAGCCUGAACCAGCCAAGUAGCGUGCAGGAUGACGGCCCUAUGGGUUGUAAACUGCUUUUAUAUGGGAAUAAAGUGAGGGACGUGUCCCUUAUUGCAUGUACCAUACGAAUAAGGACCGGCUAAUUCCGUGCCAGCAGCCGCGGUAAUACGGAAGGUCCAGGCGUUAUCCGGAUUUAUUGGGUUUAAAGGGAGCGUAGGCUGUUUGUUAAGCGUGUUGUGAAAUGUAAGGGCUCAACUUUUAGAUUGCAGCGCGAACUGGCAGACUUGAGUGCGCACAACGUAGGCGGAAUUCAUGGUGUAGCGGUGAAAUGCUUAGAUAUCAUGACGAACUCCGAUUGCGAAGGCAGCUUACGGGGGCGCAACUGACGCUAAAGCUCGAAGGUGCGGGUAUCGAACAGG